GGUUAAGCGACUAAGCGUACACGGUGGAUGCCCUGGCAGUCAGAGGCGAUGAAGGACGUGCUAAUCUGCGAUAAGCGCCGGUAAGGUGAUAUGAACCGUUAUAACCGGCGAUUUCCGAAUGGGGAAACCCAGUGUGACUCGUCACACUAUCAUUAACUGAAUCCAUAGGUUAAUGAGGCGAACCGGGGGAACUGAAACAUCUAAGUACCCCGAGGAAAAGAAAUCAACCGAGAUUCCCCCAGUAGCGGCGAGCGAACGGGGAGGAGCCCAGAGCCUGAAUCAGCAUGUGUGUUAGUGGAAGCGUCUGGAAAGGCGCGCGAUACAGGGUGACAGCCCCGUACACAAAAGCGCAUGUGCUGUGAGCUCGAUGAGUAGGGCGGGACACGUGGUAUCCUGUCUGAAUAUGGGGGGACCAUCCUCCAAGGCUAAAUACUCCUGACUGACCGAUAGUGAACCAGUACCGUGAGGGAAAGGCGAAAAGAACCCCGGCGAGGGGAGUGAAA
rnacentral:rRNA from 2 species